UGUUACUUCCAAGAGAAAGUAAAGAAAGAUGUGAGAUUGGUGGAUAUGAAAUCCCUGAAAAAACCAAAGUGAUUGUCAACGCCUGGGCGAUAGGGAGAGAUCCAGAGUAUUGGCAGGAUCCUGAGAAAUUCAUACCAGAGAGGUUCAGUGACAAUUCCAUUGAUUUUAGAGGGACUAACUUCAACUACAUUCCAUUUGGAGCUGGAAGGAGGAUAUGCCCUGGUAUGACUUUUGGUCUUGCCAACGUUGAGCUUCCUCUUGCUAAAUUACUUUACCAUUUCGAUUAUAAGUUGCCGGAGGGAAUGAGACCAGAGGAUUUAGACAUGACUGAAUCCUUUGGAGCAACUGUUGGAAGAAAGAAUAACUUGCAGCUGAUUGCUACUUCUUACGUA
rnacentral:misc_RNA from 1 species